GAUGAACGCUAGCGGCAGGCCUAAUACAUGCAAGUCGAGGGGUAACAUGAGAGCUUGCUCUUGAUGACGACCGGCGGACGGGUGCGUAACGCGUAUGCAACCUAUCCACAACAGGGGGAUAGCCCGGAGAAAUUCGGAUUAAUACCCCAUAAUGCAGGGGUACCACCUGGUACUAUUUGCUAAAGAUUUAUCGGUUGUGGAUGGGCAUGCGUCUGAUUAGUUAGUUGGUGAGGUAACGGCUCACCAAGACCACGAUCAGUAGGGGGUCUGAGAGGAUGAUCCCCCACACUGGCACUGAGAUACGGGCCAGACUCCUACGGGAGGCAGCAGUAGGGAAUAUUGGGCAAUGGGCGAGAGCCUGACCCAGCCAUGCCGCGUGAAGGAUGAAGGCCUUCUGGGUUGUAAACUUCUUUUAUACAGGAAGAAAAAGGUCAUGCGUGACCAAUUGACGGUACUGUAUGAAUAAGCACCGGCUAACUCCGUGCCAGCAGCCGCGGUAAUACGGAGGGUGCAAGCGUUGUCCGGAUUUAUUGGGUUUAAAGGGUGCGUAGGCGGUACGCUUAGUCAGUGGUGAAAUCCCGCAGCUCAACUGCGGAACUGCCAUUGAUACUGGCGUAC
rnacentral:rRNA from 1 species